rnacentral:pre_miRNA from 1 species
AACAAARCCGGGCCGGCCAUUUUUCAUACCUUGGCACCAAAGUCACCACCCGACUGUUAUKGUAUUCAAUUCAUCCUCCAACAAGUCCGUGAUCUCUAUGCGCAAUCUCUUAAUUUAUGAUAAAAUUAACAAAGAAAUGCUAUGAAAAGAAAGUAGUUUGCGGAUAGAGAUAACGGACUUGUUGUACGAUGAGCUGAAGAUGAUAACAGUCUGGUGGUUACUUUGGUGCCAAGGCAUACAAGAUGGUCACCUUAUUUUACU